rnacentral:rRNA from 1 species
GACGAACGCUGGCGGCGUGCUUAACACAUGCAAGUCGAACGGAAAGGCCCUGCUUUUGUGGGGUGCUCGAGUGGCGAACGGGUGAGUAACACGUGUGUAACCUGCCCUUGACUUUGGGAUAACUUCAGGAAACUGGGGCUAAUAUCGGAUAGGAGCUCCUGCUGCAUGGUGGGGGUUGGAAAGUUUCGGCGGUUUGGGAUGGACUGGCGGGUUAUCAGCUUGUUGGUGGGGUAGUGGAUGACCAAGGAUUUGACGGAUAGCCGGCAUGGGAGGGGGGACGGGCACAUGGGUACUGAGAGACGCACCAGUGUGGAACGUGCGGCAACGGGGGGAAAUAUUGCACAGUAGGCGGGAGUCUGAGACAGCAACGCCGGGUGCGUGAUGACGGCCUUCGGGGUGAAAACCGCUUUCGCCUGAGACGAAGCGUUAGUGACGGUAAUGAGUAAAUAAGCACCGGCUAACUACGUG